rnacentral:rRNA from 1 species
UACGAAGGGGGCUAGCGUUGCUCGGAAUCACUGGGCUUAAAGGGUGCGUAGGCGGUCUUGUAAGUAGGGUGUGAAAGCCCAGGGCUCAACCCUGGAAUAGCCUUUAAUACUGGAUAUCUUGAGUUCGGGAGAGGUGAGUGGAACUCCGAGUGUAGAGGUGAAAUUCGUAGAUAUUCGGAAGAACACCAGUGGCGAAGGCGACUCACUGGCCCGAUACUGACGCUGAGGCGCGAAAGCGUGGGGAGCAAACAGG